AGUGAACGCUGGCGGUAGGCCUAACACAUGCAAGUCGAACGGCAGCACAGUAAGAGCUUGCUCUUACGGGUGGCGAGUGGCGGACGGGUGAGGAAUACAUCGGAAUCUACUUUUUCGUGGGGGAUAACGUAGGGAAACUUACGCUAAUACCGCAUACGACCUACGGGUGAAAGCAGGGGAUCUUCGGACCUUGCGCGAUUGAAUGAGCCGAUGUCGGAUUAGCUAGUUGGCGGGGUAAAGGCCCACCAAGGCGACGAUCCGUAGCUGGUCUGAGAGGAUGAUCAGCCACACUGGAACUGAGACACGGUCCAGACUCCUACGGGAGGCAGCAGUGGGGAAUAUUGGACAAUGGGCGCAAGCCUGAUCCAGCCAUACCGCGUGGGUGAACAAGGCCUUCGGGUUGUAAAGCCCUUUUGUUGGGAAAGAAAAGCAGCAGGUUAAUACCCCGCUGUUCUGACGGUACCCAAAGAAUAAGCACCGGCUAACUUCGUG
rnacentral:rRNA from 1 species